AAUUUCAAGCCAUUGGAUGCAACCAUGAUAAAACUUUAAAACGAAAGGAGAUCAGACAACAUAUGAAUGACACUCCAAUUAAUCACGUGAGCCUCUUGUUACGAUAUGUUAUGGCAUUUGUUAUACUGCUUUGUAACUUCGUAGUAUGUCCAGAUGUUAGAUGGCAAAAUUACAGUUCUGGAAAGAAGAA